AGGUGUUACUUGCAUCCUGAGUGUUGCAGGGUGUGGCUGUUACUCUGCACUCGUGUACCCAGGCAGGUUUUUACACACCUUUUCAGGCACUUGUGUACCCAGGCAGGUUUUUACACACCUUUUCAGGCACUUGUGUACCCAGGCAGGUUUUUACACACCUUUUCAGGCACUGGUGUACCCAGGCAGGUUUUUACACACCUUUUCAGGCACUCGUGUACCCAGGCAGGUUUUUACACACCUUUUCAGGCACUUGUGUACCCAGGCAGGUUUUUACACACCUUUUCAGGCACUUGUGUACCCAGGCAGGUUUUUACACACCUUUUCAGGCACUUGUGUACCCAGGCAGGUUUUUACACACCUUUUCAGGCACUUGUGUACCCAGGCAGGUUUUUACACACCUUUUCAGGCACUUGUGUACCCAGGCAGGUUUUUACACACCUUUUCAGGCACUUGUGUACCCAGGCAGGUUUUUACACACCUUUUCAGGCACUUGUGUACCCAGGCAGGUUUUUACACACCUUUUCAGGCAAGGUAUUUUGCUUUCAUAUCUUCACCUUAGUUUCAGGAUGUCAUUUUCACCUUUUGUAGAUUUUUUGUAUAUUGCAAACAUUUAUUUUACUAAACUUCUACAAAUUUUGGUGAUUUUCCUUCCAUACUCUGUCUUUCACUACAGUGGUAAUAUAUGUAUAUCUCCAUAGUAAAACUCUAAUGCUAAUAA